AGUCGUAACAAGGUUUCCGUAGGUGAACCUGCGGAAGGAUCAUUGUCGAAACCUGCCCAGCAGAACGACCCGCGAACCUGUGAUUUUGCUCGAGCGGUGCCAGCGUAGGGCGCUCCUGCUCCGCACGUUGGCCCCCUCGCGUCGCGUGGUGCGAUCGAGACCUCGCUCGCCCCUCGCGGCCGAACAACGAACCCCCGGCGUGAGCUGCGCCAAGGAAAAUGUAACGAGAGAGAGAGCGCUCCCGCCGCCCCGGACACGGAUCGGCGCGCGGGAUGCGUCCUCUUCUUUCAACGAAAAUCUAGAACGACUCUCGGCAACGGAUAUCUCGGCUCUCGCAUCGAUGAAAAAUGCGAUACUUGGUGUGAAUUGCAGAAUCCCGUGAACCAUCGAGUCUUUGAACGCAAGUUGCGCCCCAAGCCAUUAGGCCGAGGGCACGUCUGCCUGGGUGUCACGCAUCGUUGCCCCUCCCACCCCCCACCCCCUCGUGGGAUCGGUGGACGGGCGGAAAGUGGCCUCCCGUGCGCUCCCGCUCGCGGUUGGCCCAAAUCUGAGUCUUUCGGUGACCGUGCCGCGACGAUCGGUGGUGUAACACGCCCCUCGAGCUCCCGUCGCGCGCUCGCGUCUCCUUGCCACGGGCUCCUUGACCCUUGUAAGCGCCUUCUCAUCGAGGGGGCGCCUCGCUCUGCGACC
rnacentral:sRNA from 1 species